rnacentral:ncRNA from 1 species
CCAAAGGCGAAGUGAACCUUCGUCUAGUCUUAUACAAGGCGAAACUCUCAAAUUGCGGGAAAUUCUUAAAAACAAAUCUACCAAGUUAAUAUAGUAAUAUAAUUAAUGGAACAAGUAAUGAUUCGUUGUAUGGUAAAAACGAUUUGUAUAUAUAGAAGAUCUGCAGCCAAGCACCAAGUAUUCUUGCUACGCAGGAAUAACGGUGUGCAGUUAAUCGGCUAAAUGUGAGUUGGUUUUUUAUUAAUAUGGGCUGCACAAACUAAAGCUCGGAUAUUAAUAAUUAGCUUAAGAUAUAGUCAGUCUCAAUAUGAGAAUAUUGA